GUUUUAAAAACUCCGUUGGUGUAGUGGUAGAGCACGCGUCUCGUGAGAGGAUGAAGUGCGGGUUCGAUUCCCGCUGAGACU